CUCCGUGCUUACCGGGGCCUCCCCGGCCAGCCCUCGUGGGAAUAUUGGAACAGACCAGUUGGGGAGGCGGAUGUCAGCACAAGCAGGACCACACAGGGCCCAGCUGGUCUGAGCCCAGCCCUGCAGCGAUGGCUCCCCAGGCCCGGGACCAGGACUCUGCAGUCAGACCGGACCUGAGUCCAGCGCCUCCCGCUCUCUGUGACCCCGGGGAGAGGAGCCCUCGGGGGCAGCAACGGUCAGGAGGGGAACAGCCCCUUGAACUGACUCGCAAGGGGCAGGGGUCUGCUGGUGGUCAUGUGGAGAACAACAGAUUCUGGACAUGCUGGCCGCUCACUGUCCUCCAGUGCUGGAGUCCUGGGCUCUGCAGGUCAGGAGCUGACAAAAGCUGGAUCCAAAUCUGGAAGGUGCCUUCAAGGGCGUGACACCUAACUGGCUGCUAUCCCUGCACCUCCCACGACAGCCUCAUGCUCCGCCGCCCCCGCGAGGAAUUUUAUGGAUGCAAAGAAGCUUUCCAGACCCAGUGCAAAUGGCUCAGGGUCAACUAUCCACUCAGCCAGAGGCCACCUCCGUCCCUGGGAUGCCCAUCA
rnacentral:lncRNA from 1 species